rnacentral:lncRNA from 1 species
CAGCUUAACGCCCCGCGCCGCGAGUGGGAGGGAUGCUACCUACCUUGCGCCCCCCGGGAACAGAAAGGUCGCAGGAAGGACACCAGCUUGCAGUGCCCCAGAGUGGGCUCUUCUCCCCUCAGACUCCUGGUCACUGGGGAAUGGCGCGGGGCCAGAGUGCGCCUCCCGAUCAUCCACCCUCUACCUACAGGGUAAGGGAUGCCAGAACAACCCAGCCGACCUAGAGCGGCCCUGCCUGCAUAGUCAGUCCAGGCUGGCCAGGGUCAGAAGCUCCUGGUCCUGCCAAGUACAGAAAUCCAGGCCAACCGUGACCUCAGCUCACUACCUCUCCAGGCACUUUUACAGCUUGCCUGUCACCAGGAGCCUCUUGUUUUCCCCGAACCUGAGUUCCAGCUCUCUAAUGCAGGAAGUGAUGCUGGGGAGAGCUUAGCUAACCUUCCUGCUCAUGGCUGAGCCUUGGAAGGAAGGCGCUGUGGAGACCGGGAGCAUCACGCUUGUGGACCUUGGUCGUAAGAAAAGGCCUGCAGGUGUCUGCUGGGAUAUUCUGGAAAAGCCCUUCUGGGAAGUUGAAUUUGUUUAGCAUGAACCUUUGUUUUGUGCAUGUAAAGGGAAGCAAAUCAUUAAAUUAUUAAGGGAAGACGCCACCCAUCAAAGGGUUAACUGGUGCACAGCUAGUGCACAUAGCAAACGUGUUUCCAUGCUGGACUGUCACCUCUCCCACCAACACGGUUGGUAGAGGCAAUGUGCUCUGUAGUUAUGACACUUCUCAGACUACUAUGACUAGUUAGGUCAGAUUAUAUCCUAGGUACCGUGACAGCUCAGGUGACAGCUCGGGGUCGUUUGGAAGUAGCACUUAACUAAAGUUACAGGAGCGGACUGUGUUGAACUCUCAAACCUGUCUGAACACAGAGAAGACACUCCUAUUGUCUCUGUGGAAGACCACGGGGUAAAGUACUCAAAGAACUCCCAGACUGGAAUCAUGAAGGACAUUUUCCAAGGAGCUUUGUGAGAGGAAAUAGGUCGGUACUUCGAUGUGCUCCCCUGGAGUAGAGAGAACAUAACAUCCCCCCCCUUCCCCCCCGUCCAAGUCUGUGAGAGAAGAACCACAUCAGCCAGGGCUUGGUAUGAAACUGGUCAGAAAGGAGUUGGACUGGCUCAAUUUGGCCCAAUCUAUUAUAGUAUCACACAUCACCACGUCUGAUAGUCCACAGGUGGGAAUGUGGGACGUUCCAUUUCAAGUCUUCUUUGACCCAUGGGAUGCCAAGAAAAGUUAGGCUUUGUUAUCAAACACUGAGGGAUUUUCUUUUAAUUAGUAUGUAAAGGCACUCAUAAAUACGUAAGUGUAUUUAGUUACAUAUGCAAAGCGUACUUCCACUGUGCCCUAGCAGUGUAUGAUUUUAACCUUUAAACCUCAUGAAGAUCCUGUAUGGCUGGCACUGUGAUCAUCGCAGACGACCCGUGAGAUCAAACUGCUUGUGUUACAUAAUUGAACCCACACUCUGCAUCUGCUGAUGUAAUGUUCUGAUGCUGUCAACUGGGUCAUGGCCGUGACAGAUUGUUUCUGUCUGGUGUGUCAGAUGCCGAGAAUGGUGUAUUACAGAUGUCAACUCUCCCUACCCAUUCCGGACUGCCCUAAGCAUCUAAACAAUGUUACAAAGUAAUCCAACCAGUGUAAGGGUGGGAGCUCACAGAAAAUAGCUAUAUUGUUAAUCUUAGAAUCAAAUGAAAUGGGUCACAGGCUAAAGGGAAAUGACUUUAAAGUUUCUAGAAGAAAAUGUGGGAAAAUAUUGGUCUCCUGAUAGGAUACACUAAACUCUCAAAAAAGCACUAAGUGGCCUUAAUCAAGGCUUAAAGUUCUUGCUCAUCUCAGGGCCUGGUUAAAAUGAAAGGACAAGAUGUGCUUCAGGUAGAUACUGUCAGCACACGGUGAGGGCUUGUGUGUGUGCUGCAUCCCCACAGGUUUGUGUAUUUCAGAACUUGGUCCCCAGUUGGUGGCACUUGUUUUGGGGGAAGGUUGUGAGUCUUUAGGAGUCUAGCUGGAGGAAGAGGGUUACUAGGAGGGUGGGCCUUGGGAUAUAUAUUCAAACCCUCCUUCCCACUCUAUUUCUUGCUUAGUGCCAGGUAAUAAGCAGCUCCCACCAAGGAGCCCCCAAUCACCAUGCCUUCCCCAUCGUGACAGACCGUGUCCCUUCAAACCAUGAGCCAAAUAAG